GGCUUCGUAGCUCAGCUGGUAGAGCGCUUGCAGCGUUGUGGCAUGCUGUGUCUAUCGCUGGUUCGAAUCCCGCCGAAGCCC
rnacentral:tRNA from 1 species